rnacentral:rRNA from 1 species
GCUUAACACAUGCAAGUCGAGGGGCAGCAUGGUCUUAGCUUGCUAAGGCCGAUGGCGACCGGCGCACGGGUGAGUAACACGUAUCCAACCUGCCGUCUACUCUUGGACAGCCUUCUGAAAGGAAGAUUAAUACAAGAUGGCAUCAUGAGUCCGCAUGUUCACAUGAUUAAAGGUAUUCCGGUAGACGAUGGGGAUGCGUUCCAUUAGAUAGUAGGCGGGGUAACGGCCCACCUAGUCUUCGAUGGAUAGGGGUUCUGAGAGGAAGGUCCCCCACAUUGGAACUGAGACACGGUCCAAACUCCUACGGGAGGCAGCAGUGAGGAAUAUUGGUCAAUGGGCGAGAGCCUGAACCAGCCAAGUAGCGUGAAGGAUGACUGCCCUAUGGGUUGUAAACUUCUUUUAUAAAGGAAUAAAGUCGGGUAUGGAUACCCGUUUGCAUGUACUUUAUGAAUAAGGAUCGGCUAACUCCGUGCCAGCAGCCGCGGUAAUACGGAGGAUCCGAGCGUUAUCCGGAUUUAUUGGGUUUAAAGGGAGCGUAGAUGGAUGUUUAAGUCAGUUGUGAAAGUUUGCGGCUCAACCGUAAAAUUGCAGUUGAUACUGGAUAUCUUGAGUGCAGUUGAGGCAGGCGGAAUUCGUGGUGUAGCGGUGAAAUGCUUAGAUAUCACGAAGAACUCCGAUUGCGAAGGCAGCCUGCUAAGCUGCAACUGACAUUGAGGCUCGAAAGUGUGGGUAUCAAACAGGAUUAGAUACCCUGGUAGUCCACACGGUAAACGAUGAAUACUCGCUGUUUGCGAUAUACUGCAAGCGGCCAAGCGAAAGCGUUAAGUAUUCCACCUGGGGAGUACGCCGGCAACGGUGAAACUCAAAGGAAUUGACGGGGGCCCGCACAAGCGGAGGAACAUGUGGUUUAAUUCGAUGAUACGCGAGGAACCUUACCCGGGCUUAAAUUGCAGAUGAAUUACGGUGAAAGCCGUAAGCCGCAAGGCAUCUGUGAAGGUGCUGCAUGGUUGUCGUCAGCUCGUGCCGUGAGGUGUCGGCUUAAGUGCCAUAACGAGCGCAACCCUUGUUGUCAGUUACUAACAGGUUCCGCUGAGGACUCUGACAAGACUGCCAUCGUAAGAUGUGAGGAAGGUGGGGAUGACGUCAAAUCAGCACGGCCCUUACGUCCGGGGCUACACACGUGUUACAAUGGGGGGUACAGAGGGCCGCUACCACGCGAGUGGAUGCCAAUCCCCAAAACCUCUCUCAGUUCGGACUGGAGUCUGCAACCCGACUCCACGAAGCUGGAUUCGCUAGUAAUCGCGCAUCAGCCACGGCGCGGUGAAUACGUUCCCGGGCCUUGUACACACCGCCCGUCAAGCCAUGGGAGCCGGGGGUACCUGAAGUGCGUAACCGCGAGGAGCGCCCUAGGGUAAAACUGGUGACUGGGACUAAGUC